UUUUUUCAGGACAACCUCCAGCAGUAAGAGAUAUAAAGGUUCACUGCAGUUUUGACUAUGCUCAACAAGUAUUGUACACAUACUAUGCUCAGCAAGUGGAGUUGCUGUGAAUUCUCAUGCAGGCUCUCAGAUUUUCUACCUAGUGUAUCAAAAGUACAGUACUGCUGUUGGAAGAAGAGUAUCUAUGGUCCACCAUCACUUCAAGCAUCAUGGCUAUGGAUAAAAGAAGGUUUCAUUACAUAUGGACAGUUAUAUUGGACAAAAUAAGAAAAGUGUUCUAAUAAGUUCUGGAAUGUGGCUGGUUAUGAUGGGUCUACAUGAUUGACUUGGAGUACAACCUGAUGGAGGCCGGGCUUGCAGAUUUCAGUCCUGAACAUGUUUAGAAUGUCUUCUGCAUGACCUAGUAUAGUAUGCUUGAAGGAUUAUAUCUUCAACACAGA
rnacentral:lncRNA from 1 species